rnacentral:misc_RNA from 1 species
GAAUAGCCCUGAUCGAGACGAUAUCCUCGUGUAGUGCAACGGAACGAGAUAAAGGCAAGAGCAGGAGGGAAG